rnacentral:lncRNA from 1 species
UAGAGGACGGGUGAAGUCUAAAGGGUGUCUAGUCGAGGACGGGUGAAGUCUAAAGGGUGUCUAGUCGAGGACGGGUGAAGUCUAAAGGGUGUCUAGUAGAGGACGGGUGAAGUCUAAAGGGUGUCUAGUCGAGGACGGGUGAAGGCUACGGGGUGUCUAGUCGAGGACGGGUGAAGUCUAAAGGGUGUCUAGUCGAGGACGGGUGAAGUCUAAAGGGUGUCUAGUCGAGGACGGGUGAAGGCUACGGGGUGUCUAGUAGAGGACGGGUGAAGUCUAAAGGGUGUCUAGUCGAGGACGGGUGAAGUCUAAAGGGUGUCUAGUCGAGGACGGGUGAAGUCUAAAGGGUGUCUAGUAGAGGACGGGUGAAGUCUAAAGGGUGUCUAGUAGAGGACGGGUGAAGUCUACGGGGUGUCUAGUCGAGGACGGGUGAAGUCUAAAGGGUGUCUAGUCGAGGACGGGUGAAGUCUAAAGGGUGUCUAGUCGAGGACGGGUGAAGGCUACGGGGUGUCUAGUCGAGGACGGGUGAAGGCUACGGGGUGUCUAGUAGAGGACGGGUGAAGUCUAAAGGGUGUCUAGUCGAGGACGGGUGAAGUCUAAAGGGUGUCUAGUAGAGGACGGGUGAAGGCUACGGGGUGUCUAGUCGAGGACGGGUGAAGGCUACGGGGUGUCUAGUCGAGGACGGGUGAAGUCUAAAGGGUGUCUAGUCGAGGACGGGUGAAGGCUACGGGGUGUCUAGUCGAGGACGGGUGAAGGCUACGGGGUGUCUAGUCGAGGACGGGUGAAGGCUACGGGGUGUCUAGUAGAGGACGUGGUGAAGGCUACGGGGUGUCUAGUCGAGGACGUGUGAAGGCUACAGGGUGUCUAGUAGAGGACGGGUGAAGGCUACGGGGUGUCUAGUAGAGGACGGGUGAAGGCUACGGGGUGUCUAGUCGAGGACGGGUGAAAUCUACGGGGUGUCUAGUAGAGGACGGGUGAAGUCUACGGGGUGUCCAGUAGAGGACGGGUGAAGGCUACGGGGUGUCCAGUCGAGGACGGGUGAAGGCUACGGGGUGUCUAGUAGAGGACGUUGUGAAGUCUACGGGGUGUCUAGUCGAGGACGGGUGAAGGCUACGGGGUGUCUAGUCGAGGACGUUGUGAAGGCUACGGGGUGUCCAGUCGAGGACGGGUGAAGGCUACGGGGUGUCUAGUCGAGGACGGGUGAAGGCUACGGGGUGUCUAGUCGAGGACGUUGUGAAGUCUACGGGGUGUCUAGUAGAGGACGUGGUGAAGGCUACGGGGUGUCCAGUCGAGGACGUUGUGAAGUCUACGGGGUGUCCAGUAGAGGACGGGUGAAGGCUACGGGGUGUCCAGUCGAGGACGGGUGAAGGCUACGGGGUGUCUAGUCGAGGACGUUGUGAAGUCUACGGGGUGUCCAGUAGAGGACGGGUGAAGGCUACGGGGUGUCUAGUCGAGGACGUUGUGAAGUCUACGGGGUGUCUAGUAGAGGACGGGUGAAGGCUACGGGGUGUCUAGUAGAGGACGGGUGAAGG